GACGAACGCUGGCGGCGUGCCUAAUACAUGCAAGUAGAACGCUGAAGGAGGAGCUUGCUUCUCCGGAUGAGUUGCGAACGGGUGAGUAACGCGUAGGUAACCUGCCUGGUAGCGGGGGAUAACUAUUGGAAACGAUAGCUAAUACCGCAUAACAGUAGAUGUUGCAUGACAUUUGCUUAAAAGGUGCAAUUGCAUCACUACCAGAUGGACCUGCGUUGUAUUAGCUAGUUGGUGGGGUAACGACUCACCAAGGCGACGAUACAUAGCCGACCUGAGAGGGUGAUCGGCCACACUGGGACUGAGACACGGCCCAGACUCCUACGGGAGGCAGCAGUAGGGAAUCUUCGGCAAUGGACGGAAGUCUGACCGAGCAACGCCGCGUGAGUGAAGAAGGUUUUCGGAUCGUAAAGCUCUGUUGUAAGAGAAGAACGAGUGUGAGAGUGGAAAGUUCACACUGUGACGGUAUCUUACCAGAAAGGGACGGCUAACUACGUG
rnacentral:rRNA from 1 species